AUUGAACGCUGGCGGCAGGCCUAACACAUGCAAGUCGAGCGAGCGGCGGACGGGUGAGUAAUGUCUGGGAAACUGCCUGAUGGCGGCGGAUAACUACUGGAAACGGUAGCUAAUACCGCAUACCAUCAGAUGUGCCCAGAUGGGAUUAGAUAGUAGGUGGGGUAAUGGCCCACCUAGGCGACGAUCCCUAGCUGGUCUGCGAGGAUGACCAGCCACACUGGAACUGAGACACGGGGCAGACUCCUACGGUAGGCAGCAGUGGGGAAUAGUGCACAAUGGGCGCAAGCCUGAUGCAGCAGUGCCGCGUGUGUGAAGAAGGCCUUCGGGUUGUAAAGCACUUUCAGCGGGGAGGCGUUACCCGCAGAAGAAGCACCGGCUAACUCCGUGCCAGCAGCCGCGGUAAUAC
rnacentral:rRNA from 1 species